GCCCCCAGGUGACUUCUGUAGACUCCUUCGUGUACCUCCCACAGGGCAAAGUCAGCUUCGGAGGGCUGGAGACAUUUCAAAAGGGGCAAAGAGUAUGACCUCUUGUACAGCUUACCCUCAUAAAGGAUAUAUCGGGAGGCCUGAUUUUUGAGCUUUCGAGCUUCUUUUGCAUCAUGAGGAAGAACCCUGUCUCUAAGAUAU
rnacentral:lncRNA from 1 species